UACGUGCGGGGCGAACGUUGUUCGGUGUCACUGGGCUUAAAGGGUGCGUAGGUGGUUGCGUAAGUAACGUGUGAAAUCCCUCGGCUUACCCGGGGAAUUGCGCGUUAUACUGCGUGACUUGAGGAUUUCAGGGGUAUGGGGAACUCCAGGUGUAGCGGUGAAAUGCGCAGAUAUCUGGGGGAAGGCCGGCGGCGAAGGCGCCAUUCUGGGAAAUUCCUGACACUGAGGCACGAAAGCGUGGGGAGCAAACAGG
rnacentral:rRNA from 1 species